GGGUAAGCAUUUGUUUGAUUUUCUGUGUGUGUAUGUAUGUGCAUUUGACAACAUGUGCAUUAAUGUAUGAUUGGAAACCCAUAGUGUACGUUCAUCACCAUGAGAAUAAACAACAACAAUAAUAAACCACUCCAGCUCCUCUCCACCAGGGACCCAUGCAGCGCCUUCAACCAAGACCCCCAAAACUGUAUAACCUGCAUGAGAUGCUAUUGUGGCGGUAGCCUUCAUGUUUCGACACAGAAGGACACAUAAAAUACUGUCAAUUACAAAUCCUUUCUUCCCCACUUCAUGUGGUUCUUUCUAUAAAAGCUGGACUAUAUACCUGAGGAAUGAAGAGUAUAUUACAGCAAAUUGAAGUGGGAACGGGGGCAGCAGGAGAAAGUCUACUACUGCAUCUGUGUGCACAGCAGUGCAAUCCUACACGUCUUUACUGAAAACAUAACUGCUGGAAGCCAUGCUGGCACUAGGGCAGACAGAAAUAUAGUUUUCAAAAAGUGAAGCAAAGGUAGCGAAGAGAAAGAAUGGAGGAUGUAGAGAGGAAUCGGGAGACAUGGAGGAUGUGAAAUAUAAGGUUCAGCUUUCAACAAUGGGCUGAAAUAAUUAGCAAAUUAGCUAAAUAUACCACUGGCCUUUUCUCUCCAUCCAGAUUUAGCCUACUCUAUAUGAGGGUUCCCUUUCAACUCAAGAUAUCACAUAUUCAGUUUUAGAAGUACUAAUGCUAUUGGUGUGCCACUUAUUUUCUGUCGUUUUAUUUUGCUUUAAGACUCUUGGAAUAGUAUGGUGAACUGUAAAAAAGCGCAAAAAUAGUGAGCCUACUGGGCAGUAUAGAAUGAACAUUCUAAACUCUUUGUUGCUGCCACAGAUUUAAAAGAACACAUUGAUCGCCGUGACAACAUAUGGAAUGUUUAUUUGCAUUCUGAAAUGAAGUAGAAUCUUCAGUUAAUUCCAAAAACCUGCUCAGUCUUAUUUGAGAUUUCAAAGAGGACAGUUAUACAACAUGAAGUGGUGGUUUUUCUGUGUUUUUUUCAGCUGCUGCCUACCGGUGCCCAACGAGGAGUACGAGGGCAAGACGGUGAGGUCAGAAGUUGAGGCGGAGAGCAAGACAAAGAAGCAGAGGAAUGAGAGAAUGAAUCAAAGCAAGAAAAAGCAGAGGAAGGAGGCUAAGCGCCUGAAGAAGGAGAUGGCCGACCGGAAAAGGACGGAGGAAAAAGGGUUAAAGAACCUUAAGAUGGCUGUCCCUGAAGUGCAGAGAGUGGAGAUGGCUAUCCACCCUGUUGAUGUGGCCUUGAAGGUGGAGAUGGCUAAUGCUAGUGCGGAUCCUAGUCCUGCAGUUGCAGUGGUGUCUGCAGUGAUGACUCACGCUAGCACAGAUACCAGUCCAGCAAUUGUGUUGGACUGUGUUGAUAUAGCCAAUGCUAGCGCAGAAGCUCCCCUCACGGCAAGGCCAGUUUCUUGUCCGAGACUGGACUGGCACAAGACCCUGCAGCCUGGGAGAUAUGAUCUAACCCCAGAGGAGAGAGACCAGCUGGAGGAGGAGAGGAGGAGGAGGUUGCUGGGUUGGUUUACUCGAAGGGAGGCAGCGAAAGAGCAGGCAAAUGCUAGCAGGGAUGCUAGUCCAGAAGUUGUGUUGGAUUCUGUAGAGAUGGGCAAUGCUAGCACAGAGGCUCUGGAUAUAGAGGCUCCCCUCACAGCAAGGCCCAUGUCUCGUCAGAGACUGGACCAAAAGAACUACCAGCCAAGAGUGGACAGGGGUGAGCAGCAGACCCUACAGCCUGGGAGGUGCAACAAUCUAACCCCAGCAGAGAGAGACCAGCUGGAGGAGGAGAGGAGGAUUAGACUUCUCGGCUGGUUCAAACGGAGGGAGGCUGCGAAAGAGAAGGCUAAAACUGUAGACAGUAUCAGUGAGCCUGAGAAGCCAGCUGAGAAAGAGGCUCUGGAGACGGUGCCAGAGAAGGAACAACAGGCAGAUGAUGGAGAAAAGGAGGCCGAUAUGAGAGGCAAUAAGGACAGUGAUUCCGCAGGGGAACCCCCCUCUGGAAUAAUGGCUGAUGUGUCUGCCCAUUCAAACCUGUCAUUGCAGAUGACUUGCCGACCUCAAUGAUUCCGUUGUUCCAAGACUUCCGCAAAGGGGACUGCAAUCCAACCCUGCCAUGUGCGGAGAACAAGAGCCCCCAGCUGGCCGAGGGGGACAGGAGGAGUCUGUCUCAGCAGCUUGGUGAUGGAGACAGAGAGAGGUCCAUGUCUCGUCCAAGACUGGAGUGGCAAAAAUACCAACCAAGACGGCGCAGGGAUGUGCAGCGGACCCCGCAGCCUGGGCGGUGUGAUGCUCUAACCCCAGCAGAGAGAGACCAGCUGGAGGAGGAGAGGAGGAAGAGGCUCCUUGGCUGGUUUAAGCGAAGGGAGGGUGCAACCCUCUGCCUCACUGCCCUGAAUGCAGCCACGCAGGCUGCAGAGAGUUGCCGUAAGAACGACAGCCAAAGAGGAAAGAGGAUCCUACGACAGUGAGGGGGGAGUCAAUGCACCUCCAGUUAUUGGAUCUCCAGUGACAAGAACAGGGACAGAAUGGAGAGCACUUCUACAAAAUAAAUUAAUGAAUCCUCAUAUACA
rnacentral:lncRNA from 1 species